UGCUGUUUCGCUGACGAGUGGCGGACGGGUGAGUAAUGUCUGGGAAACUGCCUGAUGGAGGGGGAUAACUACUGGAAACGGUAGCUAAUACCGCAUAACGUCGCAAGACCAAAGAGGGGGACCUUCGGGCCUCUUGCCAUCGGAUGUGCCCAGAUGGGAUUAGCUAGUAGGUGGGGUAACGGCUCACCUAGGCGACGAUCCCUAGCUGGUCUGAGAGGAUGACCAGCCACACUGGAACUGAGACACGGUCCAGACUCCUACGGGAGGCAGCAGUGGGGAAUAUUGCACAAUGGGCGCAAGCCUGAUGCAGCCAUGCCGCGUGUAUGAAGAAGGCCUUCGGGUUGUAAAGUACUUUCAGCGGGGAGGAAGGGAGUAAAGUUAAUACCUUUACUCAUUGACGUUACCCGCAGAAGAAGCACCGGCUAACUCCGUGCCAGCAGCCGCGGUAAUACGGAGGGUGCAAGCGUUAAUCGGAAUUACUGGGCGUAAAGCGCACGCAGGCGGUUUGUUAAGUCAGAUGUGAAAUCCCCGGGCUCAACCUGGGAACUGCAUCUGAUACUGGCAAGCUUGAGUCUCGUAGAGGGGGGUAGAAUUCCAGGUGUAGCGGUGAAAUGCGUAGAGAUCUGGAGGAAUACCGGUGGCGAAGGCGGCCCCCUGGACGAAGAC
rnacentral:rRNA from 1 species